rnacentral:lncRNA from 1 species
CGACACACGCCGGGGAUGGGUUCUCUUAACCAACACACGAUAAUUCAAUUUCGGCCAAGGACAUUAUGUUUUGCACUCACAUGCCUCUAUUAAGGUAACGACCUUAGCCUGUUUUCUUCUUAUUAAAAAAAUCCGGUAAAAAUAUCGUGUGUGGGUACACGGUCAGAUCGAACCCGAAAAAUCGAUAUCCUCCUUUUUAAAAUCUCACUGUUUUAUAUAGUAUAUAAAACCAUUUUCGAUAUUAAAACCCGACACUUGGGAUUUUCUGAAUAAUUAUUGAAAAUUCACAAUUUUUGGGAUAAAUGACCAAAAAUCCACUCAACACUCAAUUUGCACAAUUUAACACUCAAUUGCAGAAAUUAACCACACCAUUGCAAUCAGCACAAAAUUCCAGUCACUGGCUAUCUCGAUCUAAUUUCCGGAAAAUAAUUAAUAUUAAAUAAUUACCGAAAUUAAUUAAAUAAUACAACUAAAUGCUAUAAAUAGGAACUUAGGCUGGAAAAAACCUAAUUAAAUACCGAGACGGGCCCGGAAAAUUCCCGAACCAAUCUACAUAAUUAAUACAACCUAUUUAGUCUCUAAUUAAUCUAACCUUACCGCCUAACAUGCAAAAUUGGAUAAUUAAAUCACUAAUAUAAUAUAAUUAACCACAUAAUCCAUAAUUAACUUAAACUAAUCAUCCCUAAACGUCAUUAGCCUACUAAGUAGAGUUUAGUGCAUAAACUUACCAGUUUAGCGUGAAAACCAGUUCACCGCGACAGCAGCGCAACGGCGGCCGAAACCCGAACUUUCGGCGGCGUCAACGGACACUUGGAUCGGGCCAAAAAGGCAUUGCAAGCCACAGCAAACUGCUGGGCUUGGCUGAACUUGCGGCAGGAGAAUUCAACUAGACUGGGCUGCUGCACUCGGUUUAAUGGGCUGGAAGAUUGCGGGCUGAAUUGGAGCUCAAAGUCGUGGCCUUCGCUGGGAAUUUGACUCGAUGGAUGAAGAGAGCUGCUCGGCCCGACGCUCGGUGGGUGUUCUGUGUGUCGCUGCUGGGCCGAACAAGCAAAAAUGAAGUAGCUGCUGGCGUUGAUUCGGUCGUUACUGCUGGAGGUUGACCGAAUGUGUGGCAGAGAUGGAUGGACGAUGCAGGCGUGGCAGCGUGGAGAGAAGAUCAGUGGUGAGACCAAAGAUGGUGGGGCUGCUGCGUGGCUGCUACAGAGUUCCGUCGUUGCUAGGGGGAAAAUUUGACCCGCUAAAGUUUGACUGGAGGGUGAGCUGGCGGUCAAAGAUGGGGCAGGGAGAUGGAGCUGCUUCAGCGGCUUGUCUUCGUGCAACUGGAUGAAGACACGAAGAAGGAAAAAGAACGAUGGGGCGGAAGGCUUCGGUGGAGAUGGCGGUCAGCUGCAGAGAAGAAAUGAAAGCGAAGCAGAAGACCGAAGGAGCUGCACGCUCCUUCGAAGAAAGUGAGAGAGACAGAGGCUGUGAAGGAGGGAGACAGCGACGGGAGGGCCAGCUGGUUUUGCUUGAUCAAAAAGAUUGGAACAAGGGCAAAGUCAACAAAAUUUAUCCCCUCCAAUGGAUGCUUU